rnacentral:tRNA from 1 species
UGGGGGAUCGUCCAAUGGCAGGACAGCGGCCUUUGGCGCCGCUGAUCUAGGUUCGAAUCCUAGUCCCCCAGCCA